AGGGGGACCCCAUCCUCAUAUGGGUGACACUGGGGGUGUGAUUGUAAUAUACAGUCAGUUAAAUGUUGUAUUGGUGUGAGGUUCAAGGACUUCUGAUCUCCUGAGUACCACAGAGUCUAAAUGUUCCCUCCCGGUUCUCCUCUCCAUCCUUAGCUGAUGUUAAACCACACCCUUACUGUCAAAAUUGUCUAUUUGUCCAUUUGCCUGGGAACAAUGUGAAAUUUAUUGAUAUUUAAUUAUACAUUAUUAUGUUCCAAAUCUAUUCUAAUAUAUCAUACUGACUCUAUUGUAAAUUAAAUUAUAAGAAUCACUGGUUAAUCAAUGGUUAAAUCUCUAACUCUGUUUAUGUUCACAUUACCAUGUUGAUCUACAGUAACAUACAUGCUUUUUUCUGUAAUGUGACAGAUCUGUUUGUCAUGACUGUGUAGACAAAAAGGUUUUCUUCAUUAUUAAUGAGAUUAAGAGAAAUGAAUGUUCCGUGACCUUUAUGACAGACUAAUGGUCUGUAUUGUUUAGUCUUUCUCAAAGAACUGUUGUUGUCAUUCAUACAUAGCAACCAUAAUAGAAACUAUAUCCGAGAGUCACAAUGGUUGCAUAAAUCUGAAUAAUUUCAUUGCACAUUCAAUAAUCAUAUAUUUUUGCCACCUGAGUAGAUUCUGUGUUAAAAUGUAAAUGUCCAGUAGGGGUAAUUUUCAAUAUUAAUUGCAUUGAUAUAUAUCAAAUGGUUUACAAGCUGUUUGGUUUUUGUAAUUAAAAACCUUUCUGUAAAUAGAAUCUGUCCUGUAAACAGAAACUUAAUCACAAAUGCAUGAAACCAAAACAAAAUGCCAUGUUAUGACUAAUUAUUAUUUUUGGUAACACACCAGGUGGGUAACUUUAUUUCACUUUCAGUUUUGUUUGUCAUUUUUCCAUAUGCCAACAUAUAAAGCUGUGUAAUUGAGGGUUGAGCAUAAACACACUACAGCACAGAAGCAGCUUCAGUGUAUGAAACCUUCUUCGUUUGCAUGAAAGAAGAGACCUUUAAAUGUGUCCACCCAGUACUUUCAUUUCCAGUGUAUUUGAAGCUUAAAACAUGGAGACAAACAGAGACAUGACAACGGCAGUAGUGCAGAAAAUGGCAUUGGGGGCAGGAAUUGGUCUCGUGGCUGCUGGUGUACAAUUGUUUGGUGGCACUCGUGGAUUAGUGACAGGUGCGGCUGUGGGAGGUGCAACUCUGUUUUUUGUGAAUCUAGAUCUUAAGCAUCUAUCUGAAACUUUCAAGACUCUCUCAAAU